GUAUGGAGAGUUUUCAAAUCUCCCAAGGAAUUAUAAUAUGUAGCAAAGUUUAAGGGCCAUUGCUCUAGGGCUCCUCCUCAUCCUUCUUCAGAGACUAGUGUUUCACAACGGGUUGAGGUGUGCCAGGCGGAGUGAAGGGACCUUCUGCAGUGUCAGAUUUGUGGAGGGAGACAAGGAAACACUAACUUUUUACUGAAAUGUGGUCUUGGGCCCAGCAGCAUCUGAAUCACUGAUUGAAGAUUUUACCAUCCAAAACCCACAAAGAGAAAACUCCUACUGUGGUCUUCAGAAUUUCCAUUCAGCUGAUUUGCCUGCCAAGUCCAGUGACCAGUACCGCCGCUCCUGAUGGUGGGGAGCAUAUGGUACUGCUGUGAAUAGUUUUGCUCUCACUGCUGUGAAAUCCCACGCCUUCCUACAGAAUGUGUUUGGAGGAGCAAAUGCUUUCCUGAUCAAUUUCAUCACACAAGCUGGCAGCUAUGGGCAGUGAGGGAAGGAAGAGGCGGUCUCCUCACUAGACAGCCGAGCCAAGGUCUCCCUGGUCAUCCAUGAGGUCAGCCGUGUGACAGCCAAACCACUGCAGGACCCUAAAAGUCACUAAGUGACCUGGAGCCACAGACUCAAGGUGCCGGGAACACUCCAGAAAGGCAGAUGCUGAUCUGCAGGAAGAGAUCUUCCUCAGAGACACUGAGGAUGACCAUCAAUUUCCCUCACUCAACACCCCUUCCUGCAUAAGAUGCUCUACAGGGGACCUCACCAUUAGUUCAAGGUUUUAAAGCAGAAUCAACUGUAACACCAACUUUCCUGUUUAAAAAUGUUCAGCCUCAGAAGAAUCUGUGCUCUGUGCCUAACAGUGAAGAAAAAGCCUCAACCACUUGUGACAUUUAUCUCUAGGCUUUACUCCUCAUCUCUCUUCCCCAGGGCCUGUUUGUAGCAUGCAACAGAGAGCGUGGAGUAGCCUAUUUAAAAGGACAAAGUAGACGAGACAGAGCUGUUAAUACAGGUCCCCCUCAACUUAAGACAACUUUAUCUUUGAAAAUUUGAACUUACUCUGGAAGCAGAUGGCCGAAGGAGUGAUUAUUCCCAUGAUUUUAUAAAAUGGUCCAUUACAAAAAUUCUUUAAAUUGUGAGCUCUCUAAAGAGUUCCAAAACAAAGUUUUAAAAAGGAUUUGAUUUACAAAAACAUAGAGGAAGGAUAACCUGUUCAGCAAUAAAUCUGUUACCUAAGGAGUAUGAUAAAGGCGUUGCUAACAGCUCUAUAAAACUUGCUUCCAGAGGCACCACUCAGCCCCCAGGUCAGCUUUUCCGGACACUGUCAUUCAUCUGGCUAGAAAGGCUUUCAGCUGUGACUAUUGCCAAAUGCCCUCCUGGGGUGGUGGCCAGGCAUGAACUUGGCUGCCCACAAAAGAUACAGGAAAGGGUUUUAAGGACAUGUUUUCUAUUUUUUUUUUUCUCACAAGUUAAGUGUUGUUGCUUUCUGAGAAGCCUGAGAUAGUGCAUGGGAUAUGAUUCAAUGGAAAGUCUUUGUAUGAGAAAAUGGCUCUUUCAAAGUGGUCUAUCUGAGGAUCAGCACAUUUGGAGUCUGUCUGACCCACAUUUCCAAAGCUACAGCUGGCUCUGCUGGACUGGGACAUGUGACAAGCAUCCUGGGAGAAGCUGCUCCAACGUUGGGAAGGGAACACUUCCAAGUCUGGAGAAUAGUUAGGGCUAAAACCUAUGAAUAUCUCUAGAUUACACACUGGGUCUUUCCAGGGGAAUGGAGGCUUUGGCUGACAGCAGAAAGCAGGUACUGUCCACUUCCUUAGGCUCACAUUCUCAUGUAAACAGGCCAGGCGGCCACAUACUCUGCACCAGCUGCAGCUUCUGGGUGGUCCUGCUAGGAAGUUCCAAGUGGAUUGCAGUGCAGUCAUGUAGGCUGGUGGUCACACAGCUAGAACAAGCAUCUGUGGGAGACAGCAAAGGCAUGUAGGCUCUCCACUCUCCAGUCUCUGGUGGAAAAUCAAAGUAAAAUCUGACUUCCCCGAGAAGUCUGUUCUCCAAAUUUAAAAAACAAAAUGGAACAAGACAAAAUCAUAGAGUCAAAGAGUGGGUGGAUUUUUCCGGCAGGCAAUUCCUGAUGUAAAGAUUAUUCAGUUCUGCUUCCCCAUUCCUCUUGGAAAUAUGGACUUAGAGCCUAGGUAAAUGCAUGUUAAUUUAUCAGUAUUAUUGCAUACUAAGCUAUGAAUGACAUUAUGACACUUUUCAGCAUCUCUCCUUAGGAAGGCAAAACAAGGGUAUUGCUGAGUUGGAAAUCCACCUCCACUACUUAUUAGCUGUUUGACAAGUUGCUUAACCUUUCUGUGCCUGUUUUGCUAUCUGUAAGUGAGAAAUACUAGUAACUCCUUAAAAGGGUCAUUGUGAGAAUAUAAAUGAAUUAAUAUAUAUAAAAUUUAGAACACUGUCUGGCAUAGAGUGAGCCCUAAGUAAGCAUUAACUUUAAUUCAUAUAAUUAAAAUGACAUUAAUGUUAUGGACUAUAUUCGUAUUGUGCUUUGUAGUUAUAAAGCACUUCCACUUGUUUUUGGUGGAUCUGUAGUUAAGGUGAAGUGGAGUAAGACUGAAGAAUCUCUAUUUUUCUUAAUGAGGUAAGAGAGAAAUAGGAGUAAUCAUACUGUAUGAGAUUAUUCCAGGUAGAAAGGUUGAUGUAUGUAACUCAAGAGUAGAAGAGGGAAAUUCCAUAAAGGAGAUACUGAGGUGGUUGCUGGGUUGGAAUUGAGAACCCAGGUAAAAGAGUAGUAGAAUACAAGCAGAGUUCAAGGCUGUGGACAGCAAGGGGAUGGAAAUGCAUAGAAAUCAAAAGAAAUGUUUAUAAGGAGUUUACAAAUAAAAAUCAGGAGUCUUAAUAUGGUUUAGCAGACAGCUGAGGUCUUAAAGGAGCAUUUUGCAAAUUGAAAACACUUAGUUUUCCUGGUUCUACACUUCACCCCAAAGUCAAUUACAGAUGAGGAUCUAAGAGCUGAAUAUAUAAAAAAUUAGAGAACAUAAAGUAAAAAGAAGAGAAGAAAAUUGAGAAUUCAUCAAACAUUUGGGAUAGGUUUAACUUUCUAAAAUUAGAAUCAAUAGAAGAAAAUUGAUACAUGGUGGCAUUGAAUAAGUACUUUUGAGUAUUCACACUUCCGUUUUGAUAGCCAUAGACCAAAUCAGGGAAACCCAUUUCAGGUCACAAAGAUAUUACUUCCAACAGAGGAUCUUGGCUUCUCAAGGUUCCAUCUUUCCAUCAAGACCAUUAGGUAGUGCUUUCUAAUCUGUGGGGCCCAGUGCAAAGUGAAAAUUUGGAGGCCUUUUGCGAAAUGCAGGAAACAAGUGCUAUUAAAUGUACUAAAUUAUAAAAUGCUUUCCCUUCUUCCUUGGUCUCUCUUUUGAAUUGUCAUGAUUUUUUAAAAAAUUUUCUGUUUAAUGUCAUUCUAAGUAAAAAAAAAAAAAAAAAAAAAAAAAAAAAAAAAAAACAAAUGCAACUGUCAUUAUUUCACAUGUAUAUUCUACUACCACUCUACUUUCGGCUUACUAGUGAAUAAGGAUGGACUAAAAGGAAAAGGAACUAUGGAUUGGCCUGUCAUCUCUUUUCAUUCCACGUCAUCGCUUCCAGUAUAAGUGAUUGAUUAUGAAAGGAAUGAGGCACAUCCCCCAUAUAUCUCCCAACUUCCUGAGCCCAGCACAAACACAUUCCUCCAUAUUUCUUUCAAACUUCAGAAAAACAUCACCUGGG